AGAGUUUGAUCCUGGCUCAGAAUCAACGCUGGCGGCGUGCCUAACACAUGCAAGUCGAACGCGAAAGGGGCUUCGGCCCUGAGUAGAGUGGCGAACGGGUGAGUAACACGUGGGUGAUCUACCUCUGAGUGGGGGAUAACGUUCCGAAAGGAACGCUAAUACCGCAUGACGUUCCGGGUUUGAAGACCGGGAAACCAAAGUCGGGGACCGCAAGGCCUGGCGCUUGGAGAGGAGCCCGCGCCUGAUUAGCUAGUUGGUGAGGUAAUGGCUCACCAAGGCAACGAUCAGUAGCCGGCCUGAGAGGGCGGACGGCCACACUGGGACUGAGACACGGCCCAGACUCCUACGGGAGGCAGCAGUGGGGAAUUGUUCGCAAUGGGCGCAAGCCUGACGACGCAACGCCGCGUGGAGGAUGAAGGUCUUCGGAUUGUAAACUCCUGUUGAUCGGGAAGAAUGGACUCCGGGUUAAUACUCCGGGGUAAUGACGGUACCGAUUGGGGAAGCCACGGCUAACUCUGUGCCAGCAGCCGCGGUA
rnacentral:rRNA from 1 species